UACGUAGGGGGCAAGCGUUGUCCGGAUUUAUUGGGCGUAAAGAGCGUGUAGGCGGCUUUACAGGUCCGUUGUGAAAACUCGAGGCUCAACCUCGAGACGCCGGUGGAAACCGUAAGGCUAGAGUCCGGAAGAGGAGAGUGGAAUUCCUGGUGUAGCGGUGAAAUGCGCAGAUAUCAGGAAGAACACCCGUGGCGAAGGCGGCUCUCUGGGACGGUACUGACGCUGAGGUGCGAAAGCCAGGGGAGCAAACGGG
rnacentral:rRNA from 1 species